rnacentral:rRNA from 1 species
UACAGAGGUCUCAAGCGUUGUUCGGAUUCAUUGGGCGUAAAGGGUGCGUAGGUGGCGCCGUAAGUCAGGUGUGAAAUUUCGGAGCUUAACUCCGAAACUGCAUUUGAUACUGCGGUGCUUGAGGACUGGAGAGGAGACUGGAAUUCACGGUGUAGCAGUGAAAUGCGUAGAUAUCGUGAGGAAGACCAGUGGCGAAGGUGGGUCUCUGGACAGUUCCUGACACUGAGGCACGAAGGCCAGGGGAGCAAACGGG